GAAUGUAAAGUUGGAAAAUGGGGACGUAACUGCGUUAAUGAGUGUAGUUCCCAAUGCAGAGAUCAUCCCUGUGAUAGAGUUACUGGACUUUGUCUCUACACUUGUGACAGUCUGACGGAUCUUUCCUGCCCUGCUGGUCUAGCAUCACAAACCAAUGAACUGACGUUUUUAUCAGGUGUUGGUAUUGGAAUAGCUGUUGGUGCUGUUGGUAUUAUCUUGAUUGUUGUUGGUGUAGUUGUUGUACGCAGGACCAGAAUCACAACAUUGAGAAACAGUAGCCAGGAUGACAUAAAACCUGAAACUCGACCACAGACUUAUGAAAGCGUGAAACAAAUAAACACAGACGAACACUCCUAUGAACCUUCUCGAUCUUCUUUAGAAACCAAGGUCGAGUUUCGUUAAAGGUAAACAGAAUGCAUCGUAGUCCCCUAAACAGUGUCCACUGAAGAAUUUUCAGAUGAUGUGGCUGGUCUGCAACAGUACUUCCCUCUGACAGGUAACGAGCAUCUUCUUAUGAAUGUAAAGGAAUGUGUCAGCGAGGUCAUCAGCAGCAGCUGUCCCUUCUUUGAUAUGAUCAUUUUAUGAAGAUAGAAUGAGAAGACGGAAAGAAAACUUAACAGACCGCCAGCGGACAACGGCUCUGCAAGAGGUAUGGGAAAGUAUGUAGGUCGCAACUGGGUCUGCGUUGUCAUGUGAAUCACUGCACGCAUCCUUAAUCUUCGGAAUCAAAUACAUUUCCAUUUAUAUUGUCCUUUCAGUUAACUUCAAUGGUCGCUUAAUCUCUAAGCCAAAGUUCUCGUACUUUGUUCGUUUUUUUAACCUUUCAGUUUUUCUUUUAUUAUGAGA